CCUACGGGCGGCUGCAGUGGGGAAUAUUGCACAAUGGAGGAAACUCUGAUGUAGCAACGCCGCGUGGAGGAUGACACAUUUCGGUGCGUAAACUCCUUUUAUGUGAGAAGAUAAUGACGGUAUCACAUGAAUAAGCACCGGCUAACUCCGUGCCAGCAGCCGCGGUAAUACGGAGGGUGCAAGCGUUACUCGGAAUCACUGGGCGUAAAGCGCGCGCAGGCGGCUUUGUAAGUUGGAUGUGAAAUCCUAUGGCUCAACCAUAGAACUGCAUCCAAAACUACUUAGCUAGAGUCUGGGAGGGGAAGAUGGAAUUAGUGGUGUAGGGGUAAAAUCCGUAGAGAUCACUAGGAAUACCAAAAGCGAAGGCGAUCUUCUGGAACAGUACUGACGCUGAGGCGCGAAAGCGUGGGGAGCAAACAGGAUUAGAUACCCCAGUAGUC
rnacentral:rRNA from 1 species